GUGUCAGCCGCCGCGGUAAGACGAACCGAGCGAACGUUGUUCGGAAUCACUGGGCUUAAAGGGCGCGUAGGCGGGCAUUCAAGUCCGUGGUGAAAUCCGGCAGCUUAACUGUCGAACUGCCGCGGAUACUGGGUGCCUCGAGGGAGGUAGGGGCGUGCGGAACUGAUGGUGGAGCGGUGAAAUGCGUUGAUAUCAUCAGGAACUCCGGUGGCGAAGGCGGCACGCUGGACCUCUUCUGACGCUGAGGCGCGAAAGCCAGGGGAGCAAACGGGAUUAGAUACCCUUGUAGUCC
rnacentral:rRNA from 1 species